GGGGGCGUCCCGGCUUCGACGGAGAUGCUGAACCCUGUGGUGCAUGUCGGGCUGGCACUCUCGUUAAAACGGCCAACGGCAUUAAUUGCCAACGACGACGUAGAACUCGCUUACGCUGCGUAAGUGACCCUGCCUCAGAGGGCGCCCAUCACCUCGGAGACCAGGGCCCUUAAGAUGGGACCGCUUGGAUUGCUGGAGGCUCGUGGCACCUGAGUUAAACUUUAACGAACCGACCCGCUGAUGGCCUUGUCCGUACAGUUUUCAUCGGGUGCUGUUUGAACGGACUAAACAUGUAGACCUGCAGGCUGAUGGUUUCCGGACGCGGGUUCGACUCCCGCCGCCUCCACCA
rnacentral:tmRNA from 1 species